rnacentral:rRNA from 1 species
UACGGGGGGAGCAAGCGUUGUUCGGAUUUACUGGGCUUAAAGGGCGCGUAGGCGGGUUCGCAAGUCUGUGGUGAAAGCCUCCAGCUUAACUGGAGAAGUGCCGUGGAUACUGCGAAUCUUGAGGAGGGUAGGGGGCGUCUGGAACGGUCGGUGGAGCGGUGAAAUGCGUUGAUAUCGACCGGAACUCCGGUGGCGAAGGCGAGGCGCUGGACCCUUUCUGACGCUGAGGCGCGAAAGCCAGGGGAGCAAACGGG